UACGGAGGGUGCGAGCGUUGUCCGGAAUCAUUGGGCGUAAAGAGCGUGUAGGCGGCCCGGUAAGUCCGCUGUAAAAGUCAAAGGCUCAACCUUUGAAUGUCAGUGGAUACUGCCGGGCUAGAGUCCGGAAGAGGCGAGUGGAACUCCUGGUGUAGCGGUGGAAUGCGCAGAUAUCAGGAAGAACACCACCGGCGGAGGCAGCUCGCUGGGACGGUACUGACGCUGAGACGCGAAAGCGUGGGGAGCGAACAGG
rnacentral:rRNA from 1 species